AACUGUUCGUUUAUUGAAACCGAAACGGGGAAAAGAUCGGCGGUCAUACACUACAAUUAAUUCGAAAACUCAACAUUUAGAAAAAUUUAAUUUUGAAACGUGUUUUUUUUCUACGUAAACCUUAUACUCUACAAUCAUGUUUAUAUUAUAUAAUUUAUUUUAAUAAAACCCACCCCCAUCCCUUCACGGUUAAACAAUCUCAGGAUCCGGUAUUGAUACUGUCUUAGUAUUUAGGUUUA